rnacentral:rRNA from 1 species
GCCCUUAAAGGGAGAUUAAUACCGCAUAACCCAUAGCUUCCGCAUGGAAGCAAUGGUAAAGAUUUAUCGCUUUGAGAUGGACCCGCGGCGCAUUAGCUAGUUGGUGAGGUAACGGCUCACCAAGGCCACGAUGCGUAGCCGACCUGAGAGGGUGAUCGGCCACAUUGGAACUGAGACACGGUCCAGACUCCUACGGGAGGCAGCAGUGGGGAAUAUUGCACAAUGGGCGCAAGCCUGAUGCAGCAACGCCGCGUGAGUGAUGAAGGUCUUCGGAUUGUAAAGCUCUGUCUUUGGGGACGAUAAUGACGGUACCCAAGGAGGAAGCCACGGCUAACUACGUGCCAGCAGCCGCGGUAAUACGUAGGUGGCAAGCGUUGUCCGGAUUUACUGGGCGUAAAGGGUGCGUAGGUGGAUAUUUAAGUCAGAUGUGAAAUCCCUGGGCUCAACCCAGGACCUGCAUUUGAAACUGGAUGUCUAGAGUGCGGGAGAGGUAAGUGGAAUUCCUAGUGUAGCGGUGAAAUGCGUAGAGAUUAGGAAGAACGCCAGUGGCGAAGGCGACUUACUGGACCGUAACUGACACUGAGGCACGAAAGCGUGGGUAGCAAACAGGAUUAGAUACCCUGGUAGUCCACGCCGUAAACGAUGAGUACUAGGUGUAGGGGGUAUCGACUCCCCCUGUGCCGCAGUUAACACAAUAAGUACUCCGCCUGG